GACCAGGGAAAAAUUAAGAAGAAAAAUGCAACUAUAGCAGAGCUUUAAAGGAUGGAAAAAUAGUUUGCGUUGUUAUUCUGUUUUUAUCUAGAUCUUUUUUUUUUUCCAGAAAAAAGUUCUGCAGGCAUUGCAAGUCACUAUUACUACAAAACAAAGUAUGGUCUAUGUUACUAUUCAUCUUCUGAACUCUGUGCAGCCAUUGAAGGCCACUUCAGUUACCAUUAUUUGUGGUUAGUGAAGUGAGACACUCUGCGAAGUGAGUAUAAGCAUGUAACAAUGAAUUUUUCCUUGUGUAGAAAUAUGUAUGGAAAAGCAUUCCUUUUAAAUUUUUUUUCUGAUUUCAUUGUUACCUUUUUUGGCCAAGAUAACCAGAAACCAGAGCUCUAAGACAGAACAGACCAGGGUAUUUUUUCUUCUUUUCUCCAAAACUGGAAAAUUGAGGGAUAAAUUUUGGACUCGGAGUGUUUUGACUCUGUGAAGGUAGUUAACAAUGGCAAAACUGACCAGUGAGCAAGUCUUGCAUGAUACUUGCGGAGAGACAUGGAAGUAAGCUCAUCUUCGCCCAGUGCGGAAGGGGCCGGACCACCUGGCGAUCAGGCUCUUGCCGACUGCUCUUGCUUCAGGGCAGCCCCUGGGCUGAGACCGUGCGGGCGUUAAUCCGCGGUGCCUCUGGCCCUGGCAGUUGUUACAACAACACGCUUUUGCCUUGAUGCGUUUCCUGUGCCGAAAUCAACCCGGGAGAAGGACAAGAGAUAACUGUGUGUGUAUAUAUGGCCAAGCUUUGUCAUACGUCCCUGAAUUCAGCUGCUUCAUGAGACCUUUGUGUAGAGCGGCCACGCAGGAAGUUCAACAUGUAUCCAAGGGACCUGAUUUUGGCAGUGAGGUAUCGGGUGGGAGUCAGCUGAACCCUGUGGAAACCUUGGAUGGAUUUUGGAUCUGGCCCCGAGGCUUACACGAAGCGAGAAGUUGCACGGAUGUGGAUUGACCAAGGUUCAGGUGUGGUUACAGCAACUUUGUGCAGUUGCUGUUAUUUUGGACUGAGGGUUCAAUCACGACUGCAAACCUGGACCUGGCUUCAGGGAAAUCAGGGGAGCUCCGCAUACGCGUGGUGAUUCCUCUCGUUUCCCGAUUGCAAUGCAGGCAGGUCCUCAAGUCACUUAACUUCUCCGUGCCUCCAUAUCCAUCCAUGCAGUGGACAAAAUUAUACCUGCAUGCCUCCCUGGCAGCAGGCCGCCUGGGGCCAUCAGGCCAGGCCCCGGUGCCUUUGCAGGCUCCUUUCGGUUAGGUCUGUCUGUGCAGUGCCCUGCACGGGGUCGGGGCUAGAGCGAGCGACGAGUGAGAAGUACCAAGUGGUAUUACCUGAGUGCUGCCAUAACGUCUACCGUUUCUAGGAAUACAGUGAUUAUAGAGAGCGCUGGGUGUAGGUGACCUGAGCUAAAUGCGUAACGGACCCUUGCCUAGCAGUGUCUGUGGGUUAGAAGCAUCCAAAAGAGGGCAUGUAAAAAGCUGGUUAAAAAAAAGAAAAGCAGAACGCGUACAGGGACAUAUGCUCAUAACAGCAAGAAUAAAUGGUUUGUGUUUUUUUUUUUUUUUAAGCA
rnacentral:lncRNA from 1 species